AGAAUAAACGCUGGCGGCGUGCCUAACACAUGCAAGUCGAGCGAGAAAAUUCCUUCGGGAGUUAGUAAAGCGGCGAACGGGUGAGCAACGCGUGAGAAUCUACCCUAUAGUGAAGAAUACCCUCGAGAAAUCGAGGCUAAUACUGCAUAAGUCCCUUCGGGGAGAAAGAUGGCCUCUUUGCUAUCGCUAAAGGAUGAGCUUGCGUACUAUUAGCUAGUUGGUGGGGUAAGGGCUCACCAAGGCAAUGAUGGUUAACCGGCCUGAGAGGGUGUACGGUCACACUGGAACUUAGACACGGUCCAGACUCCUACGGGAGGCAGCAGUGAGGAAUCUUGCGCAAUGGGCGAAAGCCUGACGCAGCGACGCCGCGUGAAGGAUGACGGUCUUAGGAUUGUAAACUUCUGUUAAGCGGGAAGAAAACCUGUUUACUAAUACAAGCAGGGUAUGACGGUACCGCUAGAGAAGCACCGGCUAACUUCGCGCCAGCAGCCGC
rnacentral:rRNA from 1 species